ACAGGAAUUUGGCCACUGCACU
rnacentral:miRNA from 1 species